rnacentral:tRNA from 1 species
GGGGGUGUAGCUCAGCUGGUAGAGCGUUAGAAUGGCAUUCUAAAGGUCGGGGGUUCAAGUCCCCUCACCUCCA